CACACACACACACACACACACACACACACACACACACGUCCAAGCAUUCACACACAUGUCCCUGAGGAUAGACAGAGGCACAAAGGAAAGGGCAAACCUCUCUAAGAAGGACCUGUUUACAUUAAGCACAUUCUUUUUUGUGGACUUGUAAAUGUCACUUGCUAAGAGGAGGGUCUGGGAAUGUGAGCUAUGUCUAUCUGACUCCACAACUUAACAGCCAGAAACUAACAAGAAUAUGAAUAUGUGGAGAAGCUGCUAACAGUGGGUGUGGGAUGGGGAUACUUCCCAAUUCAGAGACAGUCAGAAGCAGGAGUUCCCAGGUACCAGGACAAUGUAGACCCCGGACUCCUGAGGGAGGAAAGCCGGAUAUACUAUGUCUACAGAGCAUCCCUCGGCCUCUUCCUUCCUCCACCCCUCCUCCUCCAUUCCAAACAGUAGCCACCAGAGAGCCCCCACACUGAGCUUCUGUCUACAGGAAGAGUUUUAGAGAAUUUAUUAGGAGCUGAAGAAAUGCUGACACUGCAAUCUUGCCCGUCCUAGCAGGCAACUCGGAGCUCCCAUUAGACAGUCAUAUGCAACAGGGGAGGGCUAUGGCGGCAGCAAGGGUCUGCUCACAGAGCCCAGACCACCAACAGCCAGCAGGAGGGAUGGCAGAGACAGACAUGGCACACUGGAUGCUAAUUGCACACGGUGACUGCAGCACUGGCAAAAUCUGAGCAGCCUGGGGUGGUCAUCUGUGAAGGCCAGAGUGAAGAGAAAUGGGGUCACCCGAGCAGGGCUGGUCCUCGGACUCCCCAGCAUCUGGUGCAGCUCAUUUGCCAUUUUCCUCCUUUGAAAGGCAUGGUAGGAGAUGCCAUGGGUAAGAAAGGCUGCCUUCCCUACAUCUGUCACCUUUUCUGAAUCCCUUCCUCAUCCACAAAAUAAUGUUUUCUUGAUCCCUCAACCUCCACCUGUUUUAAUGCCUCCUUUUAAACGAGUCAUAACUGCCAAAGUGUACUGCAGGUGCUGAGCAAACUAUGAAGCUACAGGGUCAUAGUGAACUAACUACUCACACAUACACACAGACACCAUACACACACACACACACACACACACACAUGCACGCACGCACGCACGCACGCACGCACGCACGCACGCGUGUUCGCACGCCAUCCAGGAGAGCAAGUUCACAGAGGCUGAGCAACUUUCCCCAAGUCACAGAACUAAAAACUGGGGCAAGGCCUGAUACACGAGCCCCACAUUUAGUGACAUAGCUAUGCUUUCAUAUUUAUAGUCUCAUGGGAAAUUAACUCCUGGUUAAGCCAGCAGAGCAACAAUCACCCCUAUUGAACAGAUGUGGAAACCGGAACUCAGUGAGGACCUGCCCAUGAGAACCCGAAACCUCCAUGUCCUAAUUCAUGCUACACAACUGGGUAUGAUGAUGUUUGCUUGUAACCCCAGUACUAGAGAGAGAGGCAGAGAUAAGCACCCUGGAGCUCACUGGAUAGCCACCCCAGCUUAAUCACUGGCAAGCCUUGGGUUCCAAUGAGAGACCCAGCCUCUAAAAACAAGGCAGGUAACUCUUAAGGAACACACCUGAGGUUGGCCAUUGGCCUCUGUGUAUAUGGGCACACACACCUGUGUAUACAUGGACAUGUGCACAUGCUUGCAUGUGAGUGAAUACGAGAGGGUUGCUCAUGUAUGCACAUUGUCUGAGCCCUUGCCUUAGGCCACAGGGUAUUAGGGAUAGGAGCAGGAAGCCCACUCGGCAGAGCCAAUCUUUCAGGAGUCAGGGAGUUGCACCCUGCUCAACAUUCCCACCUUCUAGCGAUAGAAUGUUCACUAGAGCUGGGUUUGUCCACUGCUCUUGAUACUAAGCAACAUUUCCAACAAAAGUCUUAUAAAUUGAUUUGUAGCAGAGGGAGUGAUGGAGCAGCACAAUGGAGACUGCAAACAUUGAAUUUAACACCAAAAUAAUCUAAUGUGCCCAAUUCUGUAUUCCUUCCCUACAUUUAAUAUGUACUAGAAAAUCAUUGGCACUUCAGUUUGCACAUAUAUCUCAAUGUGAAAUAGUGAAACUGCAAUAAAUAAAUGCAUUAUCUAGAUAAAUGGUUGCCCGUCAGAGUGAACCAUGAGGAAUGGUUUGUGUGCCACCAUUGCUUUACAAACAGGAAAAUCACUUCUCCCUUGACCCUUGGUUGUUGUCAGCUUUUGGAAGUCUAGAACAGGGUAGAAAGUACAGGUAGACCUAGAGUAGCAGGGGAGGAAGAAAAGGGGUUCCAGGACUGCCAGGAGAGGAUGUCAUCAGUGAUAAUGAUGCCCGGGGCACCACGGCCCUGAACCCAGCCUGGAUGCAGCUUAAUCUUUGAUCUUGGCCUAUACACUUGAAAAUAUCCAGCCAACCAUGACAGCCCACUCUACAGACACCAGCCUGCACUUACACCAGCCAAGCAUUUUGACCCAUGUCAUUUCUCCACCUCUCCCUUUCUAGUCCCAAGGCUACAUGUCCCCAUGUGCACCGCUGGAGCAGCCAACCAAGGAUUCAGCCUCUCCUCAUCUUCCACCAAUCUAGCCUGCUGAGAGGAGCUUGCCAGGGAGUUACCUGAUGAAAUCCUCAGUGGCUUCCUUUUUCUACCCUAUUUUGACUCCAGAAACUUCCUCUUAUGAGUCCCUCUCAACUCUCUUACAUUUUUGCUUUUCUCAGGCACCUGUAAAUAGGCUAAUAUGCUCUUAAAGGCAGGAGCUUUAUCUAAUUCACCUAUUUGUUUCUCGGCAUCAAUUAUAGUACCUGGGAUACUGGGAUGCUGAAGGCUGGUUGGAUAUACAGGUGGAAGUAGAUGGGUGUGUCAUGAGUGGAUGCAUGGAUGGAUGACAUAAGCCAAUGAAUGGGUGCAUGCAUGCAUUUGUGGGUGUGUGGAUGGAUAGAUGAAUGGAUAAAUGAAUGGGGCAAUGGGUAAGUGAAUAAAUAGAUGCAUGGAAUGGAUGCUUAGAGGAAUGGAUGCAUGGAUGCAUGGUGAGUACACGGAUUUAUGGAUGGAUACAUGUAUGCAUGCAUCCAUGGAUACAAAGAUGGAUGAUAACUGUGUGGGUCAGUGGAUGUCUUGAUGGUGAGUUGACAAAUGUGUGAAUGAGUAGUUGAGUAUAUAAAGAGACGGGUGCAUAAAAGCAUGGAUGCAGAUAGAUGAGUGGGUAAAGCAUGAGGAACAUGGCUGAAUGAAAAAAGAGUAGAGUGAGAAUCAGUAUGAAAGAACAAAGAUCCAACCCAUAUGUUUGGCAUUAAAUUUCCUGGGACCCUGAGAAGUCUAUCUGCAUUCUAAGCAGCAGGACAGAUUUUAGUAUGUCAUGAGUGCUGAUGUGUCAUUCAGUAAAGUGCUUCCUUUGCAAGCAUGAGGACUUGAGUGGAUCCCUGAAUCACCAUAAAAAGCCAAGCACAGUGGUGUGCACUUGCAAUCCCAGCCCUGGACUUAUAAUCGCAGCCCUGGAGAGGCAGGGAUAGGUGGAUCCCUGUGACUCACUGGCCAGCCAGUCAAGUCAAAUCAACCAGUGCCAAGUAAAAAGUGAGAGACCCCACCUUUAAAAAAAAAAUGAAGUGGAUGACACUUGAGGAACAACACCUGUACACACACACACUUUAUAAAACUAUACCAUGAACCUCUGGCAAAGCUCAUAUCCCACAUGGUCCAAGUCCAUGACAAAACAAGCUCAUCUUCCAUAUAAUACGUCAGCUCAAAUGGUGGUUUCAGGCCUGAGUGCCUGGCUCAGCCACCAUUCUAGGCUCUUUGGAACCUCUCAUUUAACACGUUAUCUCCCUCUCAGAGCUCCAGCUACCUUUAUACUGUCAUCCUCCUGUAGCUGUCAUGACUUCACUUUUGGAUAAUGUCUCAACCAGUGUCCCGCAGCCAUGGUGUUAAAAACAAAAUGUCUGAAUCAAAUGAGGUUCCUCCAUCAAGCUGGGCCACAAAAUUCCCCACUCAGUGCCCAUCUAAUUGCAAUCACCCUAGGUUGCACCAUAUUGCCAUUUUAUUCAUAACAGCAUAAUUAGAAAUGUCCAAUAUUUUACAGGGCUCACAGUAUGUUUGAUUUAAGAGUAUCUGUCUUAUGUCCUGAUACCGGCCCAGUUUAAAGGGAAAAAAAAGCAUCAUUGAAGUAUGUCUUUUUUAAUAAGCUGCACAGGCUCCAGCAACAGCCAGGGUCUUUUUAAAAUUUCCCCCUUGGUGCUUCUUUGCCUGAGAAUAGACAAUGAACUCUAGGAUGCACAUAGAAAAGCUGGGUGAUGUGUUCAAGAUCACAAUCGGGCUUAACAGUUUACUAAAUUCCAAACCAUAAACACCCACAUUUACCUGCUACUUCUUCCUCUAAGUUGGACCCCAAAUCCCAAGAUGAGUCAGCACUUCAGGUGUCAAGUGAGGACCCACUUUCCACCUUUCUCGUUCUGCAAGGGCAAAAUUGAUGCCUGUUCUACUUAUGCCCAAGACUCUUCAUUGUAAGAAAGGACAACAGUAACUGCCCCAGAGGGUGAUUGAACCCAUGAGAUGUCAUACAUGCAUGCAAGCAUGCAUGCAUGUACACAUGGGUUGCUUUUCAAGUUGCUAUGACAAAAUACCUGACAAAACAUGAUUUAAGAAAGGAAGAAUUUAUUUGGUGACAGUUCACAUAUACAGCGCAUCAUAGCUAGGAAAGCAUGGUGGCAGAGAAUGAGGCAGCUGGUCACACUGAACACAGAGCCAGGAAACAGAGAUGGGUGAAGGCUGGUGUUCCAAUUUCUUCUUAGCUUUCAUUCAGUCUGGGGCUCUAGCCUGUGGAAUGGUGUUGCCCACACUGAAGGUUGGUCUUCCCAGUCUCCAGAGUCCCUUAAAGACUUGUCCAGAGGUUUGUUUCCAUGGAGAUUCUAAAUCCCACCAAGUUGACAACCAAGAUUGAGUAUCACAAGGUGCUCUUUAACCAACAAUGGAUGAUGUCUCUCAAGUCCACUAUUGCUGAGCAUAUAAGCAGGAAAUGGGUCUAUUAUGCCUCUGGUACUCUAUGCUAGCAGAAUGGCCCACUGUGGAGCACUGUCACUUCCCCUCAUCAUCACACGGCUAACUAGGAGUUGCAGCCACUCUUGCACCACUGUAGAGUCAGACCAUCAUACACUGGAGAUGUCUGGACCAAGACCCCAAGGUUCUCCCUUCUACUCUGCAUCUUUCAGGAGCAAGAGCCUAUUACCCCAUCCCAGAAGAAGUCUGAAUCCAAGAAUCUCAAACCAAACUGUCCUAUUGACUGUGCACAGUACUGGAAUUUGGAUCUUAACUACCUCCUAAAGGUAUGCUCUUGUCUUGAUCCCCAGAAUGGCACUAGUGGGGAUUUUUUUAAGAGGAGGCAAGAAGGGAGCUGUUAUGCUAUUGCAGAAGCCAGACCUUCAGGAAAACAAAUCGAACUCAGGGAGCUGGAAAACUCGUCUUUAAUUGCGACAGUGGGCCCAGCUGGCAGACCCAUCUGAGUUAAGGCUCUGAGGAGUUGGGCCCUGAUUCACAGUUUUUCACAAUAUUUAUAGACUGGACAGCACCUUUUUUUUUUUUAAACCUUUUUCUGUCAUUGGUGGGGUUUAGCCUGUGUGAUUAAGGACCAUGAUCAAGCAUGUUGACAGAAGAAGAAGUGAUGAAGUUGGAACAAUUGUUUUGCAACUGUCCAUUUAAGCCGAGGAUGGUGGGGGGGUGGCUAGCUGAGGUAGGAAGUGAGAUUUCGGAAGCAAAGUGCAACAUGUGUGACGUAGCUAAAAGAGCAGCAGAAAUUUAAACUCAUUCUAAGCCUCCUCAUCAAUGGUCAUUCAUAACAUGUCCUGUAAAGGAUGGGUGGUACCCUAGACCUUCCCUUGCUGUCACUCUUAUUUGACAGGAUCAUAAACAUGUGCUGGUACCUAUGCAUGCAUAUGCACUGCUGUGUGGAAAACAGAACAACCGUGGCUUUCAUUCCUUGGUAACACCGACCACCUUAGCUUUGAGGAUGUCUCACCGAGACCCAAAGUUUGCACAUUAUUCUGGGCCAGUGGCCAGUGAUACCAGGUAUCCACUCGUCUCCACUUCCCCAGCAUAGGGAUUAUAGAUAGGUGUGUCCCACCAUACCUGGCUUUUUAAAAGUAGGUUCUGGGGAUUGGAUUCAAAGCACUUAUUAUUCAUGCUUGCAAGGCAAGCACUUUACCCACUGAGACAUCUCUCCUGCCCUUCCUGUCACUUUUGAAUGCCAGCCACAAGGAGGGCAGCUUUGUUCUGAUACAUACGCCCCCACCAUGUUGUGCUGACUCAUUGAUUACAGAGUAGAACCCACAAGACUGAGAGUGAAAAAGAAGCUUUUUCUUUGUUACAGUGACAGCAACACAGCCACCUACUCACUUAACAGUCCCCAGUCAGUGUUGGCCUCCCUGACUGUUAACUGUUGAGGAACUGUCCUUCGUGACAAAGAGAAAAGAGUUGACCUGGAGAACAUAUACACAGAGAGAAAUAAAGAAACAUCCCUCCCCCGUGACAGCCUCUGAGAGCUCAGGGACAAUAUUGCAGCCAUGAACUAAGAAAGAAAGAAUAUCCCAGAAGAGGAGACUCAACAAACACAAAGGACAUCUGAGAAGGAGAGCUAUGGUUGUAAACAAUCGAAAUCGUGACAGUAGCAUACAUAGACACCUCAAAGAAAGACACUAGAAAGACAGACAGCUAAGAAAUCAGGGUACAGAUAAAUAGGGACCCAUCCGUGCUUUGGUGACACGUAGGGGCCUGCCAGUUGAUGGACUAAUCUGACUCCAUUUUAAGAUUAGAAGCUAUCUUAUUACAAGAUCAAAAUAAGUCCACUUAUGUCUUCAGUAAAACUUGGGUUCCACCAUGUCUUGACCCCUUUUCUGGAACUUGAUAUGUUCCACACCCUAUACCCUGACCUCCACCCUAAUAAGAUAAGAUGGUCUGCCAAAUAAUUUUGAGAAGUUUCAGCCAAGUUCCUAUGUAACCAAAUUUCCUCUAGAAAACUCCAAACCCUUAAAACCCCAUCCCUCAGUUUUGCAGUUUUGAGGGCUAUAUAAACCCCACUGUCUCACAUUUAUUGCUAUUUUCUCAAACCCCUCAUUAGGGACAUAGCCUUGUCUGACAGAAAAUAAAGUUUGCUUAAUUCAACUAAAAGAGUUUGGAUAGGGCUGGAGAGAUGGCUCAGAGCACUGACUACUCUUCCUGAGGUCCUGAGUUCAAUUCCCAGCAACCACAUGGUGGCUCACAAUCAUCUAUCAUGAGAUCUGGUGCCCUCUUCUGGCAUACAGGCAAACAUGCAGACAGAACACUGUAUAUGUAAUAAAAAUAAAUAAAUAAAUUUUUAAAAGAGAGUUUGAGUAAUGGUCUUUAUUCUCAAUCCGUGUGAUUAACACAGUGUCCUAAGAGGCCUGGACUCAGGCUCCCCAUCCCCAACACAGCAGCCCAUUAAUCCCAGUACUAUGCCAUCCUUUCUCUGUCUCUCUCUGUCUCUCUCUCCUUUCCUGGGAAAAGGGGGUGGCAAUGCAAAUGUGUAUGAUUAUGUGCAGAGGUCAGACUACAUACAACCUUGGGUGUCCUCCCUCCAGCACCAUCCACCUUGAUUUUUGAGACAGAAGCUCUCGCUGUACUAGAACUCACCUGAUAUGCUCGGUUGGCUGGCCAGCUAAACUCAGGGCUCCACCUGUCUCUGCCUCUCCAGCACUGGAAUUACAAUCGCAUGCCACCAUGCCCAGUUUCUUUGUAUCUACACAGAAGCCAGAAAUAUCCGGGUUCCAGAGCUCCUCAGUGGUGCUAAUGAACAACCAUGGCUACAGAAGUAUGAGAGGUUUGUACCCUUGUGUCAAUAGGGAAAUUCUGAAGCUACAUGCUGAAUUCUUCACUGAGGCCCCGCCACAGACUCUGCCUGAAGCCCAUCAUCACCCUGUUCACACAAUCCCGACUCACUUCUCCUGCAAUCAACACACUCGGGCAAACAAUGAGAGCUUUACAGACACCCACCCGCCUCCCAAAAAAGAACACUGAAAGUAAGAGGAAGGAAAUCAAAUAAUCAAAAAAGAAGGAGAAGAAAAGGAGACUGACUGGGGAUUUCCAGGCUGAAGGGUCUAUCAAGUACCAAGAGAUGAGAACAUGUCAGACCCAUGUGACCUCACUGUGACAGUUCAGAAGAUGAGGACAGAGCUAGAUCCUAUGAUCUUCAAAAAGCAGGGGAGGCCAUGAGUACUAGCUUAACACUUUCAAGGAAUUUUAGCUUCCUGGAAGUACAUAGGAACCUGGAAGAGAUAAAGACUUAUCACUUCCUACUGAGGUCCACCUCCCAACACACACACACACACACACACACACACACACACACACACACACACACACACACGUUUACCCACCAAGAGGACAGAAUGAAAACGCAGAAGCAGUUGAGUCCCAAACAAUUAUCCCCUACCUCCUUUCUCAAAAGACCCCUGAGAACCAGUCAUUCGCUUAUGGGCACAAACUGAGGGCCCAGAAGCCAGGAUCCCCCAGCCUUUCCCACAAAGGGAGCAAAGAGGGUGGGGCUAGCAGUCUGAUUCUAUCUGUGGUGACCCUGCCUACAGACAGGUGAGGAUGGUUCUCUUGAGUCGGUCCAGGGGGGAAGGGAUGCCAGAGUACUGGGACUGAGAUAGCCCAGGAAGGCCAUAGUCAUCAUUGGAAGAGUGUGAGCAGCAGAAGUCAGAAUCUAGCUGGACCAACCCCACCACUUUGCCAUCAGAAUGGAGUUGACAGUUCUAUUCUAGACUUGUGGAAACUGGGAUCAAGGAAGUUCAAAUCCCAAGCCUGGAACCGCACCACUCCAUAGACUAGCCUGAUACAGACACACACGGCAAGGCCAGUGGCAGAAAGGUUCAGAGGUCAUUUAGGUAAAGUGAGGGAUGCUUUCCAUAGCCCUCUAGGUGGAGGGACCCACUCAGUCUGUGUUCCAAUCUAGGUGCCACAGCCAGGGUGCAGCUAUCUUGAGGUUGGGGCUAAUGAGGGAACCCUGAGCCUUGUGCAUGCUAAGCACACACAUCACUGCUAAACUCAAAAUGUACACCCAAUGCUUCUUUCUUCCUGUGCCUCAGCUCUUUCAGAGUGAGAGGGGCUGAUUACAAGCCACCAGAGGCAGAAGAAGAGCUGCUUGGAAAGUUUGUUCCCUCUCCAUAGCCCAUUAGCACCCUGGGCAUAAAACAGGAAAUGAGGAGAUGCUGGGUAUGGUGACACAGGCCUUUAUCCCAGCACUCCUUGAGAGGCAGGUGGAUCUCUGGGUUCGAGUCCACCCUGGUCUACAGAGCAAGUUCCCCAGGACAUCCAGGGCUACACAGAGAAGCUCUAUCAUGAGGCAAGAGGAAAUGGGGAGAAGAAUGACAUAAUUCAAAGUAGCUGCCUUGUGAGAAGUCCUCUAAGAAUGCCCUUGUCUUCCUCCUCUCUGGGUCAAGGGGUAGAGCUUCCACCAAAGGAAAUUGUCUUAUAGCUAGCUACCCACCACCAAGCCAACUGAAAGAGGGAGGCUCUAAAAACUCAGGAAAUGAACAAAACUUAGAAGCCACAGGAACUAAACAAGCUUCCGAGUCUCAGGACUCCCCUGGCAAAGUGGUUCUGGAAGGCCUCUCCCUCUGCCUUCUCCAUUCAGAGGCACUAGGCUGCAAGUGGGUUAAUGAAAUGUAUGCACAUUAUCGAUAGAAUAAGUCACUUGCAAUGCCAUGCUGACCUGAAACAAUGAUGGGACUGCUGUGUUCUAAAGGGUCCUGAUAUCCCAGAAUGAAACAUCCUUGGCUGAAAGUACAAAAGCUGGGCUCUGGAAUCAGUCUGUUAAGGAUGCUAGCUGACAAAAUCCAGGCAUGAAGGCUCUCUUGCCCUGUGUAGAUCAUGCCAUAUCCUUGCUUAGUCGAGGUCUCUCUUGCAAGUAUAAGCCAGAUACAUAGGCCUGGUGGGGUCAAUAAAUCUUAGCUCCAAACUGCCAUUCUCCCCUUCCCAGGCUACACAGAGUCUGGGUUAAUGCUGAACACACAGCACAGGACCCAUGCUAGCUGUCCCUCAGUGACGACUGUCUUCAGAAUUCCAGAGACACCAUAUUCUUUUCUGAACACGUAGGUUUUACAAACUGUAUUCUCACAAUGACUACAUUACCUUUCCAUGAUUAGAAUGCAUUGUUUCACUUACAGAAUCCUCCUUUUACCCCAAGAGCAAUAGAGCAAUGUGACUUCCCCAAGGUCAUGAGUAGCAGAACCAGAUUCUGAACACUUUUUGGGAGGGCUCAUCCCAGAAUCCAGGGUCUUCACACCAGGCACCCUUGCAGUCUCCAGACAGCCUGCAAUGCUGUGACCCAGUGUCACCCUAACUGUGGAUCUUGUCAAAGCCACACUCUCAACACAACAAGAUUUAGACUCCAGACAAAUCCUCAGAAACAUGCCAAGCCAUCAGCAAUAGGCUGUGUCCUAGACUGUGUCCUAGCAGUCUGAUGGCUGAAAAGCAUUUCCAAUUUUUCUGUGAAAAAAUGUCUGUUGUAGAAAGAUAAGCGAAUGCUGACACACAGCAUGGUGGCUUCUGAUCUAGCCCCUAUAAGAAGAGAGUGUUAUUCUUAUCCUUGGAGUAAGUAUACCUGGUCCUAAUCAGCAACCUGGCUAAAAGUGGCCCGACAAACUCCAACUCAGACCCAAAAGUCAGCAGAGCCAGGAUCAGUAUCUGGCAAGGAAUGUGGGUGUCAAGGCCCUGAGGACCUACCUCUGUGGUGGGUCACACUGCCAUAGAAGCAGCUGAAGAGCUUUGCAGACAUCUAAGCCCUGGGAGCCUGACUGUGAUGUCAUGUGACAAGCCGACUCAGUCUCCUGCCUUCAGGAGCUCCCCAUCAUGAUGGACUAUAUCCUUACUCAAACUGUGAGUUGCAAUAAAUACUUUCCCCCUGGAGUUGUUUUUGUCAGAGCAGUUUGUCACACAACAGGUAAAACAGCUAAAACAUGAUUUAGUGAGUGCUCAAGUCAGCCAUUGCCUCUUAACUCUUUCAUGGGGGUCCAUCAAAGCCCUGCCCAGGCUCUGACACCACGGCAAUGUAUUAGGUCACUCUUAUUUGCCACUGGGGAGACUUCACAGGGUCUCUAUGGACACGUCUCUGUGCCACCUGGCUAGCAGAAGAAGCGCUAAGAAGGACAGACAGCCCAUGCUUAGUAGGCAGGGUAGGAAAAAGACUGGCCAGCUGUGUCCACUCAAGUGCCCCUAGGGUCCAGCUCAGCCAUGCUGUCCACCUUGAGCUCUGUCCCGGUCUCAUGUCUGUUGCUGUGAGAAAAUAUUCUGACCAAAAGUAAUGUGUGUGUGUGGGGGGGGGAAGGGGUUGCUUGUCUUAGUUCAUUGCUGUGGGUAAGUCAAAGCAUGAAGCCAGAGUGUCAUGUCCACAGCCUAGAGCAGAGGGGAUAAAUUCAUGCUUGCUUGCUUGCUUUUCCUUAUGCUCAUCUUGCUUUCUCCACUCUUAACAAUUCAAGGCCCAGCCUAUAAAAUGUUGUUGUGUAUAUUCAGGGUGGGUCUACAUGCCCAUAGGCAACCUGAACUAUAUAAUCCCUCAUUAAGAUUCUCUUCCCAAGUGACUCUAGCUUGUAUCAAGUUGACAGUUAAAACUAACCAGAUCAAGUUCCAUUGACCCCGUUCAACAGCUCCCCAAGGUCUACCAAGUAUAUUUCCUACACUUAUUUCUAAGCCCGACUAUGCGCCUUGCUCAUCAACCCAGCCAGGGAGUCCUGAGGACUCUUCUAGACAGCGUGGGAGGGAAGCCUGGUGAAAGAGCCAUGCUAGCUCCGUCAUUUCAGGCUAGCUCCAGGUUGCAGAGGGCAGAGUUUCUGGUGAGUGGCCUUUCCUGGGAACUUCUCGUCUCAUCUCCUGGCCCCAGACUUGUCCUCUGAGUCUUCACCUGAGUCUGCAAAUCUGACUUCUUGCUGCAGCGCACAGAAGCCCAAGACUUUCACUUCUCUGUGUCAUCCUGAUUGGUGACUUUGUGGCUUGGCCUGUCCCUACAAACUGUCCAGGGACCAUCUGCCCCUAUGCACUCCACCUGAGACCUUCCUAAAGCAGCCUCCUUGGGCUGCUAGAUCUCAGGAGAGUGGAAGGAAAGUUAGUGUGGAGGGGACCCCAUUCUGUGAAGAGGAGAUUGCAGGCAGGAGUUAGGGCUUCAUCUUGACUAACCAUAUCUCUAAGCAUCCAUGUCCCUCUGGAGUAGAGGGGAGGGAAGGCCAUAGUGCUCCCUCACAGCAGAUUCCUGAGGAGAGGCUGCCUCCCUUGAGACUAACUGCAAAGUCAAGGAUGAGCUAUCUUGCCAGGGAGAUCCACUAUGUGUUGCCAAACACCAGGAGUUCAAGAAAUCUCUCUGAAAAUGAGCCCCUAUCUGUAUGGAAAUAAGAAUACAGGAGCUACCAGAAGCCUCCCUAGUCCCUGGUUGACUGGGUCCAGUUUGCAAUGAUAGCGAAAACUUCAACCCCAGCUCAGACAGGGUAUCCUCUAGGGGGCUCCCAGAGCCUGACACAACCCUGCUUUAUGAUCCUCAGAAAUCUUUCCCUGAAAAAAUGCAAAUUCAUUUACCCUAGAGGAGCCCUUAGCAGUGCAUUUCAGCCCGUCUCUGUGAGGAGAUGGCAGCCUCAGCCUACCCUGAGCAUGACUGUGACAAAUGGGAGUGGGAAGUGGAUUUGAGAUGUGAUUUCUGAUUAACACAAUUACAGGGAGCAUGGGCUUCAGUUUCUGGUAGACAAGACAAUAAAUUAAUUGCACCCUAAUAUGGAAAAGAUUGCAUCCCUGGAUCUCUGUGCCCGGCCCCACUGCAACUCAUGGAUGUAAAGAAUAAUUGUAUGGUAUUGUCAAGAGAGUCAUGGCAGGGAUUCAAUUACACUGUAGAGUGACUGGCUGUAAGCAUGACCAGCAUUGGUCUCAUCCUCUGAUCUUACAGGAUAAAAUGCUGCUUCCUAAAGCCCCAUUCUCGAAACAGGAGACAGAAAGAGCUGGGCUGUUGUUUCACACCCUUUGUGCAGCAAGAAUACUUUCAAGAUCUCUGCCAGCAAGUGCCUGGAGGUGACCCUGUCCAUGAACAUGACCUGAGGCCUUCAUCUUUGUCCUGCAGCUGUUAAGGGUUCCCAUUCCCAUAGUGGCUCUGUCCUUGUGGGAUCCAUCAGUUCUAUUGACCUUGUGUUAAGAGCUAUAUGAGGACUGGGCUCAGUGGUGAAAAUGUUUGUCCUGCAAACAUGAGGACCAGUGUGCAGAUUUCCAGAACCUACUAAACACUGGGCUGGCAUGGAGGAGACAAGGGAUCCCCAGACCAAGCUGGCCAGUCAGUCAGGCUAGCCAAAUCAGCAUGCUCUGUGUUUGAUUGAGAAAUUCUACUUCAAUGAAUGGGUGAAACAGCUUUUAAGGAUGAUUACCAGCAUCUAUUAGGGCUUCCACAUACAUGGAUACCCAUUUGCAAGUGCACCCACUCCGGUGCGGGUUUUCACAAGAUGGUCGGUGAAUUCCUGAUAAGGAGACUUGGUGAAAACAGUCUCUUUCCAGAGGUCAGGGGUCAGGUAGCUGUAGGUCUUAGAGAUGACAUCAAAAGUGGCCUUGGCAAAGUUGCCCUGGGCUGGCAGUGCAACCCCUGGCUAACGUGUAGCAGACAUCAAUACCAGCCAUCAUCAGUAGCUUUUGGGACACAGAAGCAGUAUGCCAGUGCCUUUUGGGGCAGGGAUGAGACACACCAACACAGAGCCACAGCAGCCUGUCAUCUUGCACAGAACAGUGUGAGCUUGCCAAUCUUGUUCCCCCAGUAGCAUCUCUGCACAGGGACAAUGGAAAGCUUGGCCAAGAUGAUGGAUCCUUAGAUGGCAGUGGCUAUCUCCUGUCAACAUAAUCAUAGUAGUCCCCAAUGGUAACAGAAGCCUUGAACCUGUUCCUCUGGCCAGCAGUGACUGCUUCUGCAGUGGCAUGAGAUUUAGAACCUUUAGGGAUGCACUCAAGAGAAAAAACAAACAAACAAACAAAAAAGCCAAUGAUCUCAGAUUCCUUAAUGGGCAGACAGAAGAGGUAGAUCUCCUCCAGGGAUUUGAUCUUCAUGUCCUUAACCAGGCAGCCCAGCUUUGUGAUGAGGAUUUAUUUACUCUUGUCUCCAGCUUUACCUCCAUGAGACCCUCAUCCUCCACCAUGGUCACAGCCUCUUCCACAAUCUUGGCCCCUAAGGCCAAAUCCUCCAGAGAAGCACUGUGGCUCCCUAAUCCUGGCCCCCAGGGUUCUCCUGGCCCUCCUGCUGCACCAGCAUCAUCCUCCAUUUGGUAUUUUCCCAAAGAAGAAGCUAUUGAGAAAUUUUUAAUCCAUGUUCACCACAGAUAUUGACCAGUUUACUAAAACAAUUCAGUUUCCCAAGAAUUUGAUGGGCCAGCUAUUGUUUUAUGUGAAAUCAUCCCAAAUUCCUUCAGCUUCAGUUAGCAAGGAAUAAACACUUAAUAGGCUAUGGGGCAGUGAGGGAGGCAGUCAGGUAGGUAUCUGGGUCAGGGAGAAGGACUAACCCCAACACAGUCCCUGAGACAGAACAUACAUCAAGUGUCCUCCGAAGAGCAAAGGGACGCACCAACUGUGCAGCUUAAAGCAGAGCAUGGGAGAUCAGUAGCUGAGAGAGAAGCCAUGCUGCAGAGAGCCUCUGAGCUCUUUGUGGAGGUGUGCUCUGGUAGAGGGAGUGUGAGAAACCACACCUCCAAGCUUUAUUCUGAAGGCCCUAUGCCUGCCAUAUACGGAGCUGAGCAAUUAGGAAGGCUACUAUAGUAAACCAGGUGAGAUGCAGUGGUUCCUGCCAGGGCUACCUCAGUGCAUGGAGCAGUAGAUUUGCAAUCUCUUCUGCCCAGAGAUUGGUAAAGAUUCCCCGAAGUAGGAGGGAAGGACAAGGGUGAAUGAGCUCACUCACCAAAGCCCCAAAAGUCUUUACUUGAGCACUUGUAAGGAUAUCGUGGAGUUGGGGAAGCUGUAGCCCAAGCGAGCUGAAGGAAGAAUGGCAGUUGUGGGCCUCAGUUGAAGAUGCCCACGAGGUAGCCAAGCGAUACUUUCCAGAUUCAUCAGAACAUUAAGAGUGGAGCUUGCUAAAGAAUUCAGACUCUCUCACUUUGCUGUUGAACCCUUUAUUGUUCCAUAAAGACUUUCUUCUUCUAGUAGUUUGAGAGCUACAAAGCAGAAGGUUACUUAUGAGAUAAAUGCCAAUUUUGCUUUGGGAUUUAAAAGCCAGAAUUUCUGUAUCUCAGGAGACCUGUCAUUGAAAACCCUGGGUGAGACCAACAGUUCCUACCAGGGUACUGCACCAACUUAGUGCGUUCAGCCACAUACAUGUUCUGCACUGUCUGAUCAUGCCUCUCUCCUCCAUCCUCUAGACUGGCAGAGGCAUUUGUGUUCAUCUGUGGGCUCUCCGUGCCAGACUCUUGAGGGAUGUCUUCGAACUUUCUCUAAGGAGGCAGAGAUGCCACUAAAAUGGAAAGCUAUGGAUCCCUUCCAGACUAAUAUGGUUUGACCAAGCAAGACCCCCU